rfam:Chitinophaga ginsengisegetis strain DSM 18108 genome assembly, contig: LX61DRAFT_scaffold00002.2
GAUGACAGGCCGAGCGGGGGCGGCUUUCAGGAGCCGCCCUCAAAUCACCUUCAGCUGCUGCAAUAAAGAGUUGUGGUAGUGAGCGUAAAGGGAAAAGGCAUGUUAAAUAUGCCAGGA